GAAAAGAACCCCGGAAGGGGAGUGAAAUAGAACCUGAAACCGUGUGCCUACAACCGAUCGGAGCACGUUAAAGUGUGACGAUGUGCUUUUUGUAGAACGAGCCAGCGAGUUACACUAUGUAGCAAGGGUAAGUACUUAAGGUAUGGAGCCGAAGGGAAACCGAGUCUGAAAAGGGCGAAAAGUUGCAUGGUGUAGACCCGAAACCGGGUGACCUAUCCAUGGCCAGGUUGAAGCGAGAGUA
rnacentral:rRNA from 1 species